rnacentral:tRNA from 1 species
ACCAGUUUGGUCUAGUGGUUAAGGCACCAGGCUAGACAGUGGGAGACUGUGAGUGGGAGACUGUGAGUUCGAGACUGUGAGUUCUAGUCUCACUACUGGCA